rnacentral:rRNA from 1 species
UACGUAGGGGGCAAGCGUUGUCCGGAAUCAUUGGGCGUAAAGCGCGCGUAGGUGGCUUCGUAAGUCCGUUGUGAAAGUCAAAGGCUCAACCUUUGAAUGCCGAUGGAUACUGCGGAGCUAGAGUACGGAAGAGGCGAGUGGAAUUCCUGGUGUAGCGGUGGAAUGCGCAGAUAUCAGGAGGAACACCAAUGGCGAAGGCAGAUCUCUGGGCCGUAACUGACGCUGAGGAGCGAAAGCAUGGGGAGCGAACAGG